GCCAGUAGCCAUAUCACCCUGCAACUCACAACUGGCAACCCCACUGAAGCUCAGCAGAUGUGAGCCUGGUCAGUACCUGGAUGGGAGACCUCCUGGGAAAAGCUGAGGUUGCUGCUGGAA
ensembl:rRNA 5S_rRNA 5S ribosomal RNA